rnacentral:rRNA from 1 species
AACGAACGCUGGCGGCAUGCCUAACACAUGCAAGUCGAACGAGACCUUCGGGUCUAGUGGCGCACGGGUGCGUAACGCGUGGGAAUCUGCCCUUGGGUUCGGAAUAACAGUUAGAAAUGACCGCUAAUACCGGAUGAUGUCGUAAGACCAAAGAUUUAUCGCCCAAGGAUGAGCCCGCGUAGGAUUAGCUAGUUGGUGGGGUAAAGGCCUACCAAGGCGACGAUCCUUAGCUGGUCUGAGAGGAUGAUCAGCCACACUGGGACUGAGACACGGCCCAGACUCCUACGGGAGGCAGCAGUGGGGAAUAUUGGACAAUGGGCGAAAGCUUGAUCCAGCAAUGCCGCGUGAGUGAUGAAGGCCCUAGGGUUGUAAAGCUCUUUUACCCGGGAUGAUAAUGACAGUACCUGGAGAAUAAGCUCCGGCUAACUCCGUGCCAGCAGCCGCAGUAAUAC